rnacentral:rRNA from 1 species
UACGUAGGGGGCAAGCGUUGUCCGGAUUUAUUGGGCGUAAAGAGCUCGUAGGCGGUCUGUUACGUCGGCUGUGAAAACCUGGGGCUCAACUCCGGGCCUGCAGUGGGUACGGGCUGACUAGAGUGCGGUAGGGGAGACUGGAAUUCCUGGUGUAGCGGUGAAAUGCGCAGAUAUCAGGAGGAACACCGGUGGCGAAGGCGGGUCUCUGGGCCGUAACUGACGCUGAGGAGCGAAAGCGUGGGGAGCGAACAGG